rnacentral:rRNA from 1 species
UGCCCAGUGUACACAUUAUAAAUGGCCGCAGUACCCUGACUGUGCUAAGGUAGCAUAAUCAAUUGGCUUUUAAUUGAAGUCUGGAAUGAAAGAAUAAAUGAAGUUAUUCUCUCUUAAAAUUACUAUUAAAAAGUUAUUCAUUAGGUGAAAAUACCUAAAUUUAAAUAAAAGACGAGAAGACCCUAAGAGUUUUUAAUAAAAAUAAUGUAUAUUAUUUAUUUUUUUGUUGGGGCGACAGUUUAGCAUUUUAAACCUAAUUUUUGUACAAGGCGAUUAUUUUAAGAAAGAAAAAACUACCUUAGGGAUAACAGCAUAAUUUUUAAAAAAGUUUGUGACCUCGAUGUUGGACUAGGAACUUUAUGGCUAGCAGUCAAAAAAGA